AUUAUAUUAGUUUAAAUUUUAGAAUUUUGUUUUGAUGAGACAGUGGUUUAAUAUAAUU
rnacentral:tRNA from 1 species